rnacentral:rRNA from 1 species
CCUGGCUCAGGAUGAACGCUAGCGGCAGGCCUAACACAUGCAAGUCGAGGGGUAAGGUCAGCUUGCUGAAUACACGACCGGCGCACGGGUGAGUAACACGUUUGCAACCUACCUCUAACUGGAGGAUAGCCCGAAGAAAUUCGGAUUAAUAUUCCAUAAAGUCAAUUUAAGGCAUCUUUUAUUGAUUAAAGCUCCGGCGGUUAGAGAUGGGCAUGCGUGUCAUUAGCUAGUUGGUGAGGUAACGGCUCACCAAGGCCCACGAUGACUAAGGGGUCCUAAAAGGAUUAAUCCCCAAAAUUGGUAACUGAGACACGGACCAGACUCCUACGGGAGGCAGCAGUGAGGAAUAUUGGGCAAUGGACGCAAGUCUGACCCAGCCAUGCCGCGUGCAGGAUGACUGCCCUAUGGGUUGUAAACUGCUUUUGUUUGGGAAGAAACCCCCGAUCGUGAUCGGGGCUGACGGUACCAUACGAAUAAGCAUCGGCUAACUCCGUGCCAGCAGCCGCGGUAAUACGGAGGAUGCAAGCGUUAUCCGGAUUCAUUGGGUUUAAAGGGUGCGCAGGCGGAAUAUUAAGUCAGUGGUGAAAUCCUGCAGCUUAACUGUAGAACUGCCAUUGAUACUGAUAUUCUUGAAUAUAGUUGAGGUAGGCGGAAUGUGUAAUGUAGCGGUGAAAUGCUUAGAUAUUACACAGAACACCAAUUGCGAAGGCAGCUCACUAAACUAAUAUUGACGCUGAGGCACGAAAGCGUGGGUAGCACACAGGAUUAGAUACCCUGGUAGUCCACGCUUGUAACUAUGAUCACUCGCUGUUGGCAAUACAUCGUCAGCGGCUGAGCGAAAGCAUAAAGUGAUCAACUGGGGAGUACGGUCGCAAGAUGGAAACUCAAAGGAAUUGAC